AAAGUUUGGAUCUGUCAACUGCAAACGACAAAAGAAACUCUGGACAGCUUGUGCAUCUCCUGGUUUAAGCUUCAAUUGAUUUGAGCUAUUAACAUUAUUUCCAAAUACUCCAUUAACAUCUACAUUACCAUUUCCCUCGGUAUCGAUGAUAAGAGUUCGAAACAGUCUAAUUUUUUGAACGUCUUCAGCACUAUCUAAUUGCAAUGUUCUUUUGGUUCCAAUACCUAUGUGCUUAUGUGACUUGUAAAACUUUCCGCUUCUUGGGCUUAACAAGUGGUUAUGCUCAAGCUCGACUUCAAUGAUUCUCCACCUUUUGGUUUCCAUCAACCUAAACUUUAUCAUUGCUGGACAGCCAGUUCUUGUUUCUGGUCUUGGGCGGUUUGCCUCGCUUUUCUUCUUGAAGCCUGCACUACUACAGCUCAGCUUUCCUCUAUACUUUUCUCUACUCUUUCGGUACCAUGUAUUGCUAACUCUAACACCAAAACCCUGUUCCUUGGCAUAGCAAUUGUAAAAGUAAUAAACAUCAUCAUACGUCUCAAACUCCAUUCCAACAGCAGGAGCCAAUGGAUUUUGGAUUAUCCCAGUUUGUCCAACAUAUUCAGUCAUUGCACAAUCUCCUACGACCUCAAAAUCAUCAGCAUCAUCAUCACCUACUGGUUCAGUAUUCAGAGAAACUUCAUCCAUCUACAAUAGAUGUUUAAUGAAGUGAACUUUAAGGAGAAAAAGCAAAAUCAGUUCAAGGAAUGAUAAUAUAACCAUACAGUUACUUUCACAAAGCUGCGUAUUUCAUCAAUACCUUAACAACAUACAACUGCCUGAGAACGUAUAGACAUGUCAUAGACGCUUGAAUUAAGUAUUGGUACAAAUUCAUGUGGGACACAAUUUCAGUCACUAAACCCAAUGCCUUUUUUUUUCACAUCAUACCAAGGAACGGAUUAAACCCAAUACCUUCUUUUACGCCAUACCAAAGAACAGAUUAAAUCAUCAAUGAAAAAUUAAUCACAUAAUAAUUUAACUAGACAAAUAAAGAGCUCGAAACAGCACAAAACUUGAAUAUGAUUAUGAUAAUUGUUGAGUCAUUGUAUCUACAGCUUUCCUUCAACAAGAAGAUUAUGAACAUAAACUACACACAAAAAAUUUAUUUUAAACUGACAUAAAUUUAUUCAGUUACAUUGAAACCCAAAAAAGGAAGCAGGAGCUGGAGAAAAACAACAGCAGAGAAACUUAUUUCCAGAAGGUUUACGAAAUAAGGAAUUUAUUAAGACACAAAAUUUGAGGUCAACAAUAAGAAUUUGGUUCUCAUUCUCUUUUUCUUCAUUUUUCACUUAUUGAUGGAGUUACCAUACAAUCCUAAAUGAUAAAACCCCAUCUCCAUCUUUUUGAAAUAGAGUUAAAGCAAAGCUUUUUAAGAUGUUUUUCCCUAAAAGACUCAAUAGUACAAUGUUUUUCAAUAUUAAAUACACAACUCAAUCUUCCCCUAAUUUACUCUAAUAAUCUCUUAACUAAGGAAGAUUAAGCUCCACUUGUAAGCUAAAACAAGUUUCUUAAAUCAAGCCCCAAUGCUCUAUGCUAUUCAACAAGGCCUCAUAAAUGAUAAAACUACCUCUACAAAGAUACCCAUUUUAAUUUCGCAAACUAAAAUCGAACUCCUGAAACGUAACGAGCAUUAAAACAAACAAGUCCGAACAAGAACUGAAAAAUGAUACGUAAACCCGUUUCGACAAACAGUUUCCAAUCAAUGAGCAAAAAAGUUAAUGGAAAACAUGAAAUUCAAACGAAACAUACCUUAGGUUGAUAAAUUAGUAGCGCAAAAGAAAUUUUAGCGAGAUAUGGGAUCAGGGAUUUUGCCACGGUGAUGUUAAUUGCGACAUUCGGGUGACUCAGCAGCCUUCGAGGCUGAAACUUUGAUUGACCAAAAGCUUCCCGUUCGUUGAUUCUCUAAUUGCAGAAACGAAACUGGCAGUGUACAGAAGACGUACGCUGAUUUGAUAAUUCUGUGAAAAUCAUUGUUUUUUUUCAGAUUUUUAAUGUGUUCGAUAAAAUAUCAAAAUCUCAAAAACUUUUGUCUUUCAUUUUGGGGGGGAAAAACCCAUUGAGAUCCUUAUGUUUUUUCUUAUAUAAUCUGGCUUAAUAAUUUGCAAAGUCUAUUACUUAGCACCCAUGCAUGCUGCGUUCCAAUUUACAAAAUUGUACGUGAGUGCAUCCAGCUAAAAUUUGUAAAAAGAAAAUAGCAAUAACAUGUUAAAAAUGUGAUUAUUAUGAAGAAAUUUUAAUUUAGUUAAAUAGGUGACGAUGGAUAGGUAUAAAAUCUGAGAUCUUUUAUAAGGUUAAUAAAUAUGUUGAGUUUGGAUUAGUUCAAUUUUGAAAUAAUAAUAUUCAAAAUAUCUCUUAAAUCAUUAUAAACCUCAAAUCUAUUUUAAUUUUAUUUAAAAGAUAAAAGAAAAAUAGGUUAUGUUGGUGAUUUUUUAUUAUCUUUUUAAUAAAAAUGAAAUAAAUUGAUGUUUAUAAUUAUUUAAAGUAUUUUAAAGACUGCCAUUUUAUGAGAGAAAAAUAUUUCACUUUUUUUUAGUGUGAAAGGCCGAAAAAGGACAAAGCAAGUUUCCCUAGUUUUUAUUUAUUUGAAAUUGGUCAUCUCAUAUACUUCACCCUUCAACACUAUAAUUUUUUUGGUUAUAAUUUUAUUAUUUUUUCUCUUUUACACAUGCAUGUGAAUUACUUUUCUUUAAGCUCCUGAAUAUUUAAGAUAAAUCAUGGAAGAGAUGAGAGUAUAACAAGAUGACCAAAAUAUGUAACAAAAAAAUUUUAUAAGUGAAAAAUAUGUUAGAGACUUACAGUGGAAGUAAAACUCUGAGGUGAUGUUUGAUUUGAAGAAAAUGGAGGAAAUGAAAAGACUGGAAUGUAGAGGAAAAGAGAGAAAAGGAGAGGAGAGGAGAGUGAAAUUUUUUUCUAAUGUUUGGUUUGUCACAUAAUUAUACAAAGAAAGGAAAUCUCUAAUUUUUUAUUUAGACAAUUUUAACCUUAAUAAGUAUUAAGUUUUCAAUAUUUAUCAUGUGUAUAAUUAAAAAAAAAAGAAGUAAAUGGUAGAAAGCGGUUUCUGAUUCCGGCCACAUCGCCCGCAAUGGAAGGUACUUAUCAGAACAUCAAGAGCCAGCCAUCAUUCCCUAGCCAUCACUGCUGUCGGAACACUGCCGGAAAGCUGCCGAUUGAACCGCGAAAAGUCGUGGAAAUCGCUGCCUCAAAUCGGUGAGUUUCGCCCUUUUCUGGUCACGCCGUCGCCAUGGCUUUGUCCAUCAAGCCUGCCACUUCCAUUUUCAACCAUCCAUAGCCACUAUUAAUUGCCAAAUCACCGCCGAUCAGCGGGAUCUGUGGAAGUUAAAAAGUUUCUAAAUUUUUUUAACUGGAUUUGAACAACAUACGACCAUUUUUUUAUCUCGAUAACGACGUAGUAAUGUUGAUCGUUGGUCGGCAAGUCGUAUGGUAGUGGCAGUGAGUAACACGCGCCAAUCACAUCGGCGGCGGCGGCGGCACUAUCCGGCGACUGUUAAAAUAAUAUUUUAUAUUUUCAGAUUAAAUAAAUUUAUUUUAUUAAAAUUUUUAAAUCAUUAUUUAAAUUUAAUUAAUUUAAAAUUAUCUAUAAUGUUGAAUUGAUAAAAUAAAUUUAUAAAUAAUAAUUAUGUGAUUACAUUAAAUAAGUUAAAAAGUUGAAGGGUUAGUUUUGGAAGAUUUAGUUUCCAACACAAAGGGAAUUUGAAUUCUUCACUUCUUAGUGUGGAAUUCAAAUUCUAUAUUGUAAUAGAUAUUAAAUUUCAAUAAAAAUUAAAUUCUUAUAAGUUAUGUCAAACCAAACAACGAAAAUAAAAAAGAAAUUUAAAUUAUUUUUCUUUCCUCCACCCUCUCCUUCCAACUAAAUACAUCCUGAAAAUAGAGAUAUUGAUUAAUUUAGAAGAGAUUCAAGCAAAAAAUAUUCCAAAAAAAAAAGCAAUAUGUCCCUUUGGAGGGCAAACUUGUCAGUUUCAAAAAAGUACAUGCUUUGUAUUGAUAGUUGUAGGAUAUUUGUUUUGUCACUAUGUAUUAGUUGGAGAAGUCCAGCCUUGUGGAGAAUGUUAUGAAAGAGCAAAGGAUAUUCCUGAUAGCUGAUAGAGCUCUAUCUGAUUAUGUAUCCAGUGAAUGGAUGUGUUGUUGGAAGAUAUCUGAGUGCAUUAGUUCAUAUGUGUCUGUCAAUGUGCUUUUAAUGAUUUUUCCACCUGUUUGUUGUAAAAGAUUAUUGUAAAUUGAAAUGAACUUGAUGUUUUAAUAUUUUCUUCCGUAAAUUGAAAUGAACUUGAAUUAAAUCUCGUUGAAUUUAAUAUUAUCUCCUUAGUGGAAUUUCACCUAGUAUGUAUUCAGUUGUGUUGUCUAUAAUUUUGCAUUCGAGUAAGUUUCACCUAAAACAUUAGCAUGAGUAGUGGCCCUUGAACCUUUGGUCAAAAUUAUUGUUAUUAUUUCUGACUAGAUGUAAAUUUUGUAUUAAAUCUCGUUAACACAAUUCUUAAUUAAAAGUAUAGGUUAGUGUUGGUGCAAGAUUUGCCACACCAAAUUCUGCCUAGCUGUCAAAAGUGCAAAAUAAAUGAAGAGAAAGCACAAAUACACGACUUGAAUAAGGAUACAACGAAACUUAAAUUCAAGAGAAAAUGAUAGCUAUAUCCCAAGAUUUGAAAAAGUAGUCAUGUAGGUUUUUAAGAUUUCAAUAAGCGACUGAGAUUCAAAUAAUAUCCUUUAAUUCUAUUAAUAAAAAACAAAGACUCAAAUAUUUUAUGAUAAAUAAAAAUAUAAUAUUAAAAUAUAUGUGAUAAUAUACACAUUUUAAAUACUUUCAAUCCAAAAAAAUAGUUAUGUUUUACAAUCUAUUAGACAUAUUUUAUUAAAUUAAUAUAAAUUUUCUAUAAAAUAAGAAUAUAAUAUUAAAACAAAUUCACAGAAAUUUAAAGAAUUUUGAAUGUAAAAUAAUUUUAAUAUAUUAAUACGUGAGUUUUUUUAUUAAUAUAAAAAUUAUUUAACUUUAAGAUUUUUUAAAAUCUUUACAAUAAGUAUAACUAUAUUAUUUACAUUUAAAAAUAUUUAAAUAUUAUUAACCUACAAUUAUAUUUGCAUUUGUUAGAAAUUUUUAAAGUCAAAUAUUUUGCACUUCUAUAUUAUUAGAAUUAUUGCACACAAAGAAAGAAACAUAUACGUUUAGAAAUUGUUUUCUUUUAAAAUAGAGAUGAUGAUUAGUAUAAGGAUCAAAAAAAGGAUAAAGAAUAUUAAUGAUUAACGAAAACUCUAUACAAAUUGAUUUUAGUAGGAAAAGAGUGAGAUGAAUGAUUUCUUUUACAGUUAGAAAAAUAGAUGAUGAUUAUUAUAACGAAGAAGAAAAGAUAAAGAAUAUUAAUUAUUAAUGGAAUCUCUAUGCAAAUUGAUUUCAGUAGGAAAAAAAAUGAGUUAAAUGAUUUAGAGUGCGUUUGGAAUUGAGAUUGGACAGCCAUAGAUUUUAAGUUACAACACUGAAGUGUUUGGUAAAUACUAGCUGCUGCAGAUUGAAAGUUAUGUUGAUAUGAUUUUUCACAUGUAUCAUAGAAAAUAUAUUACAUCUUUAAUAAUUUUUUUAAAAUUUGUAUUUGCUAUAUAUUGUUUUUUUUAUAUAGUUAUAACUUUUUUUUUUUCCACAGCAGCUGUAGCUUAAAAGCUACAGCACCUCAAUCUCAAACAAGUCCUUAGACAUUCAUAGUGUGUUUAUUUUUUGGAUUGGUGAAUCAAAAUUAUUGACAACGCUAACUUCAUCUUCACCGUUCGCAAUCCAACAGCAGCAAUUGUCGCCAAUAAUGAUAUCGCCGAUGAUGAUGACAAUAAUAAUAAUAAUAAUAAUAAUAAUAAUAAUAAUAAUAAUAAUAAUAAUUAUUAUUAUUAUUAUUAAUAAUUAAUAUAUUAAUAUAUUAAUGUUAAUAUUAUUAUUAUUAAGAUUAACAAUAAUUAUUAGUAAUACAAUUUUUUGAAUAAAAAUAAUCACAAUAAUUAAAAUACAAAUUAACAAUUAUGACAAUAGUUAAUUAAUGUCUUUUUAGUAAUUUGUAAUAAUCUAACUCAUUUUAAUUCUGAUUAUUACAGUUUAAGUAAAUAAAUUAUUAUGAUUCCUAUUCUCCUUUUCUAUUUUAACUCACUUCGAUUCCAGUCUAUUCUGAUUUUUGUUUAAUAAACGCACCAUUAGUGCUAAAGUAAUAUUUCAUACAUAGAAAAGUAAAAACUACACCUAAGGUUAAGGGAAAGGACUUCAAAACUCUCUUUUGAUCAUAAUACAUUUUGUACUAAUUAACUUAAAGAUUUUGAAUCUAAUAUUUUAUAAUAAAUAAAAAUAUAUUCCUAAAAUAAAUAUAAUAUCAAUAUUUAAAAUAUGUUUUAAUAUUUUACACAUUUUAUUAUAUUAAAGUAGAUUUUAUAAUAAAUACAAACGUCCUAUUAAAAUGAAUAUAUAAAAAAUUUAGAAAAUUUAGAAUAUUAUAUAAAAUAAUUUUAAUAUAAUGCGUGAGAUAUAUUUUAUUAAUUUAAAAUGUUAUUUUACCUAAAAAAUAUGAUAAAUUAAUAAUUACAUAUUUGAAGUUAUUUCAAAUAUUAAAAAAAUUUAAUAUUAUUAGUCUUUUAGAUAGAUUAAAUUAUUUUUUUUAUAAGAGAUAGAUUAAAUUAUUUUAAAAUGCCUUAAUUAUUUUUACUUUUAACGUUACCGGCCUUUCUUUUAUUUUAUUGCAAAUUAAUGCUAACAAGAAAAAGCUAGAUCAUAUUCCACAAAAGCAAAAGUGACAAACACAACCAGCUGGAAUCUUUUAUAAAACUACAAAUUAAAAUGGAUUUUUUUUUUGAUAAAUUACACAUGAAAGUGGAUUCUUUUGAAUAUAAGUGGAGUAGGCUCUUUUAUUUUAUUUUUGAAUAUUGUAUAACGGGACUGUAGACUCUUUUAUUAAACUACAAAUUGUAUAGUCUUUUUAAAAUUGUUAUAAAUUAAUGGCCCCCACAAUCCUCAACAAUUGUACCGAUAUUCACAAGUUGGUGGCCCCUACAAUUCUGUUCCGAUAAUUUAACUGUGCAAGUGCUCAUUCACAAUCUUCCAGGUCAUGCUCUCAAUAAUUGUUUUUUUUUCCUGCAUUCCCUUUGGGAAAUUUACGAAAAUAAUCAUUAAUAUUUUAUUAUUUUUACAAUUAACCGUCUUAAUUUUUUUCUAUCAACAUUAGCCAAAUACAAGUCUUUCUUCCCAAAUUACCCUUCUUUACAGAACAAAACCAACAUUGUUUCUCCCAUAUCGCCAAACCAAAAGCAGCUUUUUAUUCUUAAAUCAUCAGCCAACGGCGACCGCAAAAGACAACGGUAAAAGUGAUAUCCGAUCAUAAUCUAUCCGGAUCCAACACAAAUCUACAUCACUCAGUGGUAUGAAUUAUUUUUUGAACUUACUGAACUCAGUCGGGUGAAUCUGAGUCUGGCGACAGGCUGCCUGUCGCAGUAAAACUUGGUGCGACAGGCAACCUGUCGUACCAAACCUUGGUGCGACGGGCACCCUUGGAGAUUUAUUAAAAAUGUAUUAUUUUAAUAGGACUCAAAUAAUUUUUUUUUAUAAUUUCAGGCUUAAUGGAUUCAGUUGUACUUGAAUUGUGUUACGAUGGUUGGUGGGAGACAUUAGAGAAUGGCUGUAUGGAGUACGUGAAUGGUAAAAAUCGAGCUUUUUUGGUUGGAAAAAAUUACUUGUUUGAUCAGUUAUUGGCAAGAGUAUACGAGGUAUUAAAAAUAAACCCUAAUGACUAUAGUAUCACAAUGAAGACAACUUUGAGGUCUAGUAACACAUUAUAUCGUAUAUGUGCAAUGCCCAUGGAUAUAUGUGAUGAUGAAAUGGUGAGGGUUGUGUUGCAUAUGGCAUCUGACGUAGCUAAUUUUGGAUGCAUUCCUAUAUUCGUGACCACAUCACCUCGACUUCCGAGCGAAGGUAUUGAGCCACAUGUCGAUAUAGAAACUUCGUUUAGAGCAAAUAUGUCUGGCCCCGAUAAUGAUGAAGAGGUGUUGCCAAGGACAAUAUCGCUGCAGCAAUAUUACUCUCCAAUCCACGACAAUUAUGAUAACAUUGAUGAUAAUAGCGUUACGUUACAGGAUGUUGGAGCAACGGUAUUUCCAAUAACAACGUCGUUGGAGCAACGAUAUUCUCCGUAUCACAACAAUGAUUUUCGGGACAAUGAUGAUUUUCAUAAUGAGACAGAGGAGGAUAAUGUUUGUGCAGAACCUUCUAAUAAUACGAGGCGGGGCACUCGUUUCAAUAAUGAUGGUGAUGAUGGAGGAGUCGGUCAUUCGAAUGUUCCGUCGUUUCAGCAUGAGGAUGAGUGUGAAGACAAUACUCCUGUGAAUAACAGAGGCAAUAGACCUAUUCCUUCUAUGGUUCGAUCGAGAAGGAGAAUUGACCCCCUUACAAGUCUUGCUCCAACUUUACCUUCGAACAUGGUUGCUCCAAGCUUUGUUAGCAGUUGUGACUCAGAUGAUAUCAGCGUGGGUAAGCUAUUUGUUGAGAAGAAUGAGCUUAUAUUACAACUACGCAAGGUGGCCUUUAGAGAUAAGUUUGAUUUCAAGAUUGCACGGUCUACUACGACACGUUUCGAGGCUCACUGUUGUUCAGAAUCAUGUAAAUGGCAUAUUCGAGCAACUAGAAGUUCGAACGAGCAAAAUGUUCCUUGGGUGGUGAAGAGAAUUGAUAAUGUACACACUUGUCAUAAUGAGGUAUUGAUUGAUGGACGUCAUCAAGUAAGGAGCCGGGUUGUCGGUCAUAUUAUCGCAGAAAAAUAUAUUCAAGAUAAGAGGAUUUAUACUCCCAAUGACAUAAGAGCAGAUAUGCAACAGGAAUACGGUGUUCAGUUAACAUACCAGCAGGCAUAUAGGGCGAGAGAAGUUGGUCUUGAAAUAGUUCACGGCAACCCUGCAGAGUCAUACAACUUGCUCCCUAAAUACUCUCACGUACUAACUACAACGAAUGAGGGUACAGUCACUCACCUCGAGCAGGAUGGAGAUGGUAAUUUCUUGUACUAUUUUGUAGCACUCGGAUAUUCCAUCAAGGGGUUUAUGCAGUACAUUCGGCCUGUCAUUGCUGUAGAUGGUACUCAUCUAAAGAGAUUAUAUCGUGGAAGCAUGUUCGUGGCAACAUGUCUUGAUGGUAACAAUCAAUUGUAUCCGUUAGCCAUUGGGAUCAUGGAUUCAGAAAAUAAUGAUGCUUGGGAAUGGUUUAUGAUGAAGUUACACGGAGUGAUUGGUGAUAGACCUGAGUUGGUAAUUAUCUCUGAUCGAUGCACUGCCAUAAGGAGAGCCGUUCUUAAAGUAUUUCACAAUGCAACUCAUGGCGUUUGUUUUUACCACGUCAAAGGUAACAUUAAGUCACAAUUUAGAAUGUCCAAAGCUCUUUGGGAUGAAUUUGAGCAUGCCUUUAUUAAUGCAGCAAAAGCAUAUGGCCACGAGGAAUUUAAGAGACAACUUGAAGGGUUGUGGAUGAUCCACUCGGGUGCGGCUGAUUACUUAGAAAAUAAUGUCGGCACGUGUAAUUGGGCAAGGUCUCAGUUUCAAGGUAGGAGGUACAACAUUCUUACCACCAACAUCGCGGAGAGUGUUAAUGCUUUCAUGAGGGAACCUCGAAAAUUUCCUGUUACUCAUCUUGUUGAUCACUUCAGGAAAACAUUGCAGCAAUUGUUUUAUGAUAGAAAAAUUGUGGCUGAAUCAAUGACUACUCGGCUAACAACAUGGGCGGAUGAAAUAGUCACUGAGAGGAGAACUAUAGCUGAAAGAAUGAUAGUUCGGCCGGUGUCUCCGCAUCGCUUUCAAGUUAUAGGCGGUGGGCUUAAGGAAGGGUUGGUUGACUUGCAAAAGAGAACUUGCUCCUGCAGAGUGUUUCAGCUUGAUCAGCAUGUGUGUGCUCAUGCAAUUGCGGCGUGUCUAACACACCGGGUGGAUUUUAUUAACCUUUGCUCGGACUUUUACACUACAGAAUCGUUGGCGAUGGCUUAUGCACAACCAGUGGAGCCAGUUGGUGAUGUGGCUGAUUGGGAAGUUCCAGAUGAAAUUCAGGAGAUGCAGGUAUACCCACCAGUUGAGGCACCACUACCUGGCCGUCGUAAAGAGCUCAGAAUACCCUCGACUGGCGAGGACGUUGACCGGCGGACUGUAAGAUGCGGCCGGUGUCAUGAACUAGGCCAUAAUCGUAAGCGAUGUAAGAAUCCUAUUGCGUCGACUCGAAGUUAGUUGUAUUUUGUGUGUUAUUCGUUGGUUAAAACUAUUAUUGUUUUUGUGUUACAUUGGUUAAAACUGUUAUUGUUUUUUGUAUUUCGUUGGUUAAAACUGUUAUUGUUUUUUGUGUAUUGUACACUUAUAUUCAUAAAACUUUAUUUUAUUUUAAAGUUCAAAAUGUGAGGCAUUAAAAUUAUAUAAACUUAAGUGCGGAAAUUAAAAAAAAUGCAAAUUUCAACAUUGAAAUUACUACAUAGGUCUACAAUAUAAUAUCGUCAUUAAAUAUAUCAACCGCAAUCUUCUUUCUAAAGUACUCGACAUGACUAGCGUUAAACUCCAAUCUAAGCCCGAACAUUAAAUACAUCGUAACCAUCAAUACAAAAACACUGCAAUCGCUAGUUCCGGGCUCUUGUUGUGGUGCGCUCUUAACUGCGAUAACUUUCCACGGGUCUUCACUCCGCAACUCAGGUCGGAUAUUGUAGAAGCCAACAUAUUCCAACCAUCGAGGGAAUAUAACUUCAAGUGGCUUGAAUUUCAACUUGUACUUUUUGUCGUCGCGAAAUGUGAGUAAUGAGUCAUAAAUCCAGACUUUAUUUUUCCGAAAGUCAACUCGUGCUAGUACCCAAUGCGCGCCGUCCAAGUUAACAGGGAUGAGUAACUGCAUAUAAAAAUUAAAAAAACAUGUUCGUUAUAUAUGAAAUUGAAAUACAACAAAGAAAAAGCAACAACUCGAAUAUUUUCAUUAUAGAGCAUGUGAAAUGUAAUAAAAUACACACCAUAUCGACAUCCGUCAUUAAUUUUGACAUUGUGUGCUGUCGCCCACAAAGAUAACUAUUCAAGCGGUCGUCGAAUACCAUUGAAUCAACUGCACAAUUCCUGUUAUUCCAUAACUGAUUCAAGAACACCUAGUACAUAGAUAACCAAGAAAUGCAUAAAUUAAUAAAACUUAAAGGCAAUAAUUAAACAAAUUAAAUAGUAUUUAUAAGUUUUGUCGGCACGUUACCCAAAAAAAUGUGUCAGUAUGUGUGACACGUUGGAGUAAGGCAUUUGGAUACUGCCGUUGUUUCUCGCUAAUCAAGCGGAGAUACUCGUGAAUAUGCUGUAGAGAAACAAAAAUAUUACGAUUUAAAAAAAAAUUAUACACAAAUCCACAACAGUAUACACCACGAGGAAAAUAUAAAUACCUCAUCGCCUAGCCAUCCCAUCGAAGCUGUCCCCAAAAUUAUUUGAAAGAAUGACCGCAGGUGCUGGACUCUCCGGCGGACUCUGCUAUCACCAGUGAACCAUCGAUCAAACUCAGCAAACAAACUAGAGUCCUCCAAUCCUCUCAGUGGAUUUACAUCCACACUCGUACUCAUGUCAAUCGCAUGCUCCAUCAUUUGGGGUCGAGGUAACCUCCGGACGUUCUGUCCACGCCUGACCGGAGGAAUCAUGUAAGGACUGUUAUAAACAUACGACGGUAUGUACGCGCGGCCGAACUUACUAACGCCCGGAGGCACCUCUGUGAACACCUGCAUGCUCUCCCCACUAACAUCCCCGUAUAAACUAUAAAAUGACGUGGGCGUAGACAAAUUUUCAUUGCCCACGUCAGUAUACACUCCAUAGUCAUCCGGGGCCUGUACAUUCGCCAAAAAGAACAUAUUAAAUAAUUAUCAAAUUAAAAGUUAAACGAACAUAAUUAUUUAAUUUAAAUUAGCUUACCGCAUACGAGCGUGCAGUGGGAGAAUCCUUAUUUGGAUGUUUAGAAAAUGUGUCGAUGAAGCCAACAACGGUUUCUUUAAAAUCUUUUAAUUCUGACUUUAUUUCAUACACAUUACGAUCAAUCUUAUCCAGCCGUCGUCGUACGUAAUCAUUAAACUGCUUUGUCCUCGACUAUUACAAAAGAAAAAAAUAAAACUUUAGAAUAACAAUAAAAAAAUAAUAAUUUAUAAAGGAAAAAUAUCGUAUAUUAUUUAUAACCUCAGAAUCCCGUGCGUCAUCAGAGUUGUCUGUUUGCUGCUGGUGGUCAUCAACAGCCACCUCAUCCUCAAAAGUGUCAAGACGCUGCUCUGGUAUUGGGUUUAGUAUGUCGUCAUGAUCAUCAUGCUCGUCCGAUUGUCUUGUAACCGACGGCAUCGCGUUGAUUGAGGGUUGGUGCUGUAUAAAGUAUCAUUUAAAAUUACUAAAUGAAAAGUCAAAAAUUUCGAUAAAAAAAUUUUUAGUACUUACAGUAUACCGACCUUAUGAAUCCAAUCUGGAAUGCUUGGCAAGUAAUCCUUCACAGAGAGUCAAUAUUUUCUGCUACUCUCUUUUGAAUUUGGCUCAAGAGUUUGUAAAAUGUCCGUCUGCCAUAAAUUCAAUUGAAAAAUUUAAGUAAGUAUACCCAACUUAAAUUUAGUAAAGUUAAAAAAUAAGUAAUACAUAUUACUUACAAGACGAGAUUCGUCGUUGAAGAACGAAUAAACCUCCGCAAAGUUGAUUCUCGAAGACGUCAUGGGCUUCCAUUGCAGAAUGCGGGGAAUCUUACUCUUCGUUUUGACGACCCAUGUUGAUGGCAACCCUCCGAUUGCUUCGUAAAUCCAAGCCUACAACAAACCAAAGUGAAAAAUCAAAUAAAACAACUAUCAAAUAUUUAAUACUAUAAAACUUAUUAAUAAACAAAAAAAAGCACCUGCACCCCAGACGUAAAGCCGUAAAGAUUAUAUUUUUCAAUAUUAUGAUCUGAAUUUUUCAACCGAGUCUUCUUAAAUUUCUCGUCUUUCUCGAACAGUGCAUUGUCAAGACUCUCGUAAAUCAUUUCCCACGACAAUAGACCCCAUGGCGCUUUCGGAAGUACUGUAUAUCAUCAACUUGGUCAAGCCAAUCGAAAUUAAUUUGACAGUGAUUUUUUCUUGCAUUUAGUACUCUGUCCGCAAAAUAAAACAGCGCAAUCUUUAAUGCGUCCAUAUCGUCCAUUUCCUCGAAAUUCAACUCCUUAAAUACUGCAUCAAAUUGCUUCACAUUAAUCUUACGAUGCACACCACCAAAAUACGUAUUCCGUAGCCUCUGCUCCAUUUCAUCAUUUUUUUCAUUGGUAUCAACACCAAAUGAAAGUCCAGUAACCAAGCACCAUUCGAUAAUUGACAAGCGAAUCAAAUGCUUACCAAUUUGAAACCAUAACUGAUCCUCACAGCUAUCUUCUUCAUGGGCCACUUGCCGCAGUAAACGAUUGUGCAAAAUUACCCCACUAAAUGGAAAACUUCGGCACUCCAAGAAAUGCCCAAAUAUAUCCUUUUUGAACAUACUCAACUGCCGCUUUGUUAAUUUUUCCUCGAUGGCUUUUACGACCGAAGAUAACAUACACAUGCUCGAAAUUCGACCAGGAAAGUGAUCAGCAUAACGAAAAUACAUCUUGCCUACUUCAAUAUCCGGUGAUUCUGAUUUCGCCAUGUAUCUGUAAUAUUUAUAAAAUUAUUACAUUACAUUUACAAAAUUAUUACCAAACUCUAAUUUUUUGGUGCGACAGGCGCCUGUCGCUCCAAAAAACUGCCUGUCGCACCACAGCUGGUGCUCCAAAAUCGAAAACAAUACUCCCAAACACUACCAACUACCACAAACAUCAUCACCACCACUAUUAAUCUCAAGCUAUAACUAUUAUUAUUCUAAAAUCUCAUUUUAAAUUAAUGAAAAUAAGAAAAAUGACUAACCUAGGUUUUGUUGAAGGUUGUAGAUCGUAGAUCGGAUGCCGGUGAGAGAUGGAGCCGCCGCCGACGAGGGUUGAUGUCGCCGCCGAUGAUGGGAGUUGGAUCGGUUUGGGAGAGAUGAGUGAAAAAGGGAGUGUUGGGGAAGAGAUGAGGGAUGGGUAUUUUGGUCUCAAAUGUUGUUUUAUGGCUAAUGUUGAUAGAAAUAUUUUUGGGGGGUUAAGAUGAAAAAAAACAAAUUUGUUUUGGUUAUUACUGUAAAUUUCCCAUUCCCUUUCAUGCUCUUAAUAAUUGAAGAGCAUACUUUUCAUUUUCAAAUGUGGAGCCGCAUCUAAUGUCGCUAAUUUAAUUUGGGAUUAAAUUAGGGGACCAUUAUAUUGCAGUGUGUACUAAUUUUUGUGUUUAUCUAAACUCCUUAAGUUUAAGACAUAUUAUGGCAUAAAUAAGAAUAUAACAAUAACAAAAGAGAUGCCGGAGCAGAUCAGCAGGGUUUGAAUAUGACCUUUGGCGGUUGCUUUUUUUUUGUGAUUUUUUUCAUUUUUUCCUUCCUGUCAUUUUAUCAUUUAUUUGGCUCUGUUUCUAUUGCGGGUGUUACUGCAUGCUUACUGUUGCUUGACAAAGUUUGCUAGCUUUUUGUUUGCAGUGCUGCUAUUCACCCCGAGUCAAGCUCCGAAAAUUUAUUAAACAACGCCGUUUCGAUAGUAACAAUUUUUUUCUUUUCCCUUUGUCUGUCUCUUUCAUCUGCUGUUUCUCUAUCACUUUUCAUUUUUUAUUUCCUUACUUCCCAGCUGCCCCUAAAUUGUUAUUCUAGCAAUAUACUUUCUCAUCUUUGAAUUUUCAUCCUUGAGUACUCCCACAGCCGUAAUUUCAUCAUUAUAGACUUCACUUGGAAUGCUGUAUUUUUUCGAUUCUUAAGCUACUUCAAUUACAUCUCCCAGUAUAGGAUCCUCAUCUUCCUUUAUUUCUUCAUCUUAUGAGGUAACAAAUGGAUUUCACAACUCAUCUACUUUUAAGCAAUUACAUAUUAUACCUUGAAUGAUUCAACUGUUCCGACAGUUAAAGAUUUUAUGCUCAACCUGCAGUGCUACGAACAUUGUCCAUGAAAGAUGAGUUUCAGCAUAUAAAAUGAAAUAUAGAUGUUUAAUCUAAAAUAACCCUUCACUGCCAAGAAACCUAGGUCACAAAAUUCACAGAUAAUGAUAAAGAGCUAAAAAAUUUGAAAAACUCUACAGAUCACACAUCAAGCAAGAUAUCAUGUUUUUUUCCCUCAUUCGGUGGUGAUUGAUUCGCUUUUUGAUGAUGGAUAUGGUAUAAAAGUUUUGACCCAAUUUCAAGCAAACACAAAUAGAAACACAAAUAGAAACACAAACACAAUCAGGACUAGAGUUGUGGGCGAUUAUCUUAGGUGUACAAGUGAAACGGUGGUGGCUGUCGAUGGUGGUAGUGGGGUGGUUGGGUAUGCGUGAUGGCUAGAUUUUAGGACAAUAAUGGUUGGAGUUGACCUCGAUCAACGAAGGAAAGUGACAACAAUUUUGACAUCAAACGGUGCAUUUUUUAGCUUAGUAAAAUGGAGCCGUUUCGAAUUUGGGGUUUAAUCCGGGGUUUGACUCGGCGCAAGUAUCAUUUUCCUUUUGUUUAUUAAAUUUUUUAUGGUCACAAAGUAUUACUCGUUCUAUUUGAGAGUGAUGUGAAUCAAUUUUUCAAUUUUAUAUUUUGUGGUCAAUGUGAAUUUAAUUUCAUUUGUCUCCUGCAAUUAUGAAAAAAUUGCAGUCAUAAUAUGGAAAAGUACACCGGCAAAAACUUUGUAAAAGCUUCGGAGUGAUACGGGGAAUUUACUUACUACUGAGGACAAUUGGUGGCAAAGCUAUUCCAUUCAUUUUAUGUCCAUCCAUCUAUUUAGCUAUUGAAGAUUAGUGGUCCAUUUGUAAAUUUCAGAUUGUCUCUCUCUCUCUCUCCCACUUGAAAUAACAAUAUUUAAUAUAUCUCUUAAAUUAUUAUAAAUUUUAAUUUACUCUCGAUUUAAAAUGGAGCAUGUCGAUAAAAAAUUUUUCUUCUUAAUAAAAUUGACGUAAGUUGUGUGUUACAGUAGUUUGAAGUUUGAAAUAUUUUAAAGAUUAUUAUUCUAUAAGGGAGUAAUAUGAAAUGAUAUUUACUUUUCAUGUGUGAAAUGAAAAAGGACGAAGCAAGUGUCCCUGCUUUUAUUUUAUUUCAAGGAGGAGUCAUCUCACAUACUUUAGCUCUUAACAUUACAUUUUUUCUGGUUACAUUUUUUAUUUAUUUAUUUUUUUUUUUUUACACAUGCGUGUGGGUUGCUUUUCUGUAAGCUCCUUAAUAUAUAUUUAAGACAAAUCAUGGAAGAGAUGGGAUUAUAUCAAGAUGAUCAAAGCAUGUAAAAAAAGAAAAAAGAAAAAAAAAAAUUAAGAAGUAAGACACUGAAAAUGGAGAAGAGAUGGAAGCAAAAGAUAUUCCAAAACAAAGCAAUCUAUCCCCUUUCGAGGGCAGACUUAUCAGGUUUAAAAAAGUACAUGCUUUGGAUUGGUAGUUGCAAUCAAGGGAAAAUAAAUAGGAUCCAAUGAAAUUUAAAUCUCGGAGAAAAUAAAUAAUCAUGCAGAUUUUCAAGAUUUUAAUAAGGGAUACUAAUAUCUUAUUUUGAUUAAUAACAUUCUUUUAUUGUGUUAACUCAAAAAAAAUAUUAUAAUGCUUUACAAUAAAUACAAAUGUCCUAUUAAAUGAAUAUAUAAAAAAUUUAGAAAAUUUAGAAUAUUAUAUAAAAUAAUUUUAAUAUAAUGCGUGAGAUAUAUUUUAUUAAUUUAAAAUGUCAUUUUACCUAAAAAAUAUGAUAAAUUAAUAAUUACAUAUUUGAAGUUAUUUCAAAUAUUACUUAAUUGUUUUUACUUUAAACAUUACCGGCCUUUCUUUUAUUUUAUUGCAAAUUAAUGCUAACAAGAAAAAGCUAGAUCAUAUUCCACAAAAGCAAAAGUGACAAACACAACCAGCUGGAAUCUUUUAUAAAACUACAAAUUAAAAUGGAGUUUUUUUAAAAAAAUUGUUAUAAAUUGGUGGCCCCUACAAUCCUCAAUAAUUGCACCGAUAUUCACAAGUUGGUGGCCCCUACAAUUCUGUUCCGAUAAUAAUUGUUUUUAUUUUUCUGCAUUCCCUUUCAUGCUCUUAAUAAUUGAAGAGCAUACUUUUCAAAUGUGGAGCCACAGCUAAUGUCGCUAAUUUAAUUUGGGAUUAAAUUAGGGGACCAUUAUAUUACAGUGUGCACUAAUUUUUGUGUUUAUCUAAACUCCUUAAAUUUAAGAUAUAUUAUGGCAUAAAUAAGAAUAUAACAAUAACAAAAGAGUAAAAAAGUGUAGAGAAGAUCUUGCAGAAAUAUAAAUAAUAUCUAUUUUAAAAUAAUUUUUAAUAUUUUAUGAUCCAUUAGAUAUAUUUAUUAUAUUAAAGUAAAUUUUAUAAUAAAUAAAAACAUACUAUUAAAAUGAAUAUAUAGAAAAUUUAGAGUAUUUUAAAUAUUAUAUAAAAAAUUUUUAAUAAAAUAUGUGAGAUAUUCAUAUUUUAUUAAUUUAAAAUACCAUUUAACCUAAAGAUUUAUUUAUGAUAAAUUAAUAAUUAUAUUUUUGAAAUUACUUCAAAUAUUAAAAAAUUAAUAUUACUAAUCUGUUAGAUAGAUUAAAUUAUAUAUAUUAUUUUCUAUUUAUUAAAAAAUUAAAAUUAUUUUUAAUUACUAUUCAAAAAAUAUAAUGAAAAAACAUAAUGAUAAAAAAAUCUUAACAUCUUUAUUAAAAAAUUAAAAACUUAUAUGAUAAAUUCUCUAAAUAUUUACGGUAUAUGUGAACCACGGUGGAUAAGCUUUAUUUAAUAUUAUUGAUUUAAAUAAUAUGUCAAUUAAAAAUGUACAGAGAAGAAAUUUCGGUGGGUAUUUUAGUCUUUUAAGCAAUUAUCAUGAUCAGAUCAGCCUUUAGCCUUCAAACGUCGGUCAGAAAAGUUUUAAAAUUAAUGCUAAAUUGUUUUUCACUUUUAACGUUGGUGGCCUUGAAAUUGCUUGUAUUUUAUUAAAAAUUAAUGCUAACAAGAAAAAGCUAGGUCAUAUUCCACAAAAUCAAAAGUGACAAAACAACCAGCUGGUUUCUUUUACUAAACUACAAAUUAAAAUAAAUUUUUUCGAUAAAUUACAAAUUAAAGUGGAUUCUUUUGAAUACAAAUGGGACAGACGAUUAGGCUCUUUUUAUUAGAGGCAAGUAAAAACUAGUCAAGAAUCGAACAGUCUUUUUCCAAUUCUUGUUUUAUUAUUUUUCAAAACUAGUUUUUGGUAAUUACAACCGGGUCAUUAAUCAUUAUUCAGAGUUACUGUUAUCUUCGGGGGCAGUGGGUAAAAGAUAAUUACUAACUGUUUUUCCUUCAAAAGUUAGCGGCUCAUGUUUGCAAGUGUGAAUGUGCGAUGCUCUUUUCUUAAAGGCCAUUACAGUGGGGCCCGAAUCAGACGUGCCUAAAUCUUUUUAAAAUUUUUGCCGUAUAACGAACAGAGGUCAUUACUAAAAUUUCUCUUCCACAGCCUACAGCAGCUUCAGUUUAUCAAACUCCAUCAAUUUUCUUUCUUAACAAAAUUCCAAAGAUGUGUAGCAUUUUUCAGAUCACAUGCGAUGGUGCUCUUUUCAAUCGUUGCUUGGAUUGCUUUCUUGGAAAAGCAGCAUACAUACGUAACCUCCAAGAUAAUCUUGUAGCCUUGGAGACUGAACUGGGAAGACUAAUCGCAGCAAAGAACGAUGUGAUGAUGAGGGUUGUCAAUGCUGAACGGCAACAAAUGAGAAGGCUGGACGGAGUGCAAGUGUGGGUUUCGAGGGUGGAUUCUGUUAAAACUGGAGCCGACGAACUUAUCACAGACGGCUCUGAAGAAAUUGGCAAAUUAUGUGUUGGAGGCUACUGUUCCAAGAACUGCAGGUCAAGCUACAAAUCGAAAACAAGUGGCUAGAAAGCUACGACAUGUGAAGACUUUAAUCGCCGAGGGAGUUUUUGAGGCGGUGGCCACUGAGGUGGUGCCCGAGAGAGCUCCGGAACCUGUAGCAGAUAAAAGACCCACUGAGCCAACAAUAGUAGGCUUGCAAUCACAGCUUGAACAAGUUUGGAGAUGUCUUGUAGAAGAAUCAGUGGGAAUCAUUGGCCUAUAUGGUAUGGGCGGUGUUGGUAAAACCACACUAUUGACCCAUAUCAACAAUAAAUUUCUUGAGAGUCCCACAAACUUUGAUUGUGUGAUUUGGGUCGUAGUUUCAAAAGACCUGCGACUUGAAAAAAUUCAAGAAGAUAUUGGGAAGAAGAUAGGUCUGUCUGAUGAUUCAUGGAAGAAUAAAAGUUUUGAAGAGAAAGCUGUGGACAUCCUGCCGAGAUUAGGAGAGAAGAGAUUUGUAUUGUUGUUAGAUGAUUUAUGGGAGCGGGUUGAUUUAACAGAAGUGGGCGUUCCACUUCCCAGCGCACAAAAUACUACCUCAAAAGUCGUAUUCACAACCCGUUCCAUUGGUGUUUGUGGCAGCAUGAGAGCUAGGCCGGUUAAAGUGGCAUGCCUAUCAGAAAAGCAAGCUUGGGAACUGUUCCGCGAAAAUGUUGGGGAAGAAACUCUUGAGAGUGAUCAUGAGAUCGUUGAGCUAGCCCAAACUGUGGCCAAAGAGUGUGAUGGUUUGCCACUCGCACUUAUUACUAUUGGUCGAGCUAUGGCCUACAGAAAGACAGCCGAGGAGUGGAGUCAUGCAAUUGAUGUGCUAAGAACAUCAGCUUCUGAGUUUGCAGGUUUGGGAGAGAAGGUGUAUCGUCUUUUAAAGUUUAGCUAUGAUAGUUUGCAGAAUGAUACGGUUAGAUCUUGUUUCUUGUACUGUUGUUUAUAUCCUGAAGAUUAUGGCAUUCUUAAAUGGGACUUGAUUGAUUGUUGGUUUGGCGAGGGAUUUUUUGGGGAAUCUGACAGGUCUGGUGCAGAAAACCAAGGAUAUGACAUUUUGGACACUCUUGUUCGUGCAUGUUUAUUAGAAGCGGUGGAAGAUGGUGAAGUAAAAAUGCAUGACGUUAUUCGUGAUAUGGCUAUAUGGAUAACUUGUGAAAUUGAGAAGGAGAAGAGAAACUUUUUGGUUCGUGCAGGUGCUGGAUUAAAAGAGGCACCGGAUGUUAAAGGAUGGGAAAAUGUGAGAAGAUUGUCAUUGAUGCAAAACCAAAUUGAAACUGUGUCAGAGGUUCCCACAUGCCCUCAUCUCCUCACUUUAUUUCUUGACUUUAAUCAGGAGUUGGAGAUGAUCGCGGAUGGCUUCUUCCAACUUAUGCCUUCUCUCAAAGUUUUGAAGAUGUCAAACUGUGGACAGAGGAGGUUGAAAUUACCUGUUGGGAUGUCAGUGUUGGGUUCAUCACUAGAACUUCUCGAUAUUUCAUGUACUGGCAUAACAGAGUUACCAGAGGAGUUAAAGAAGUUGGUAAAUCUGAAAUGUUUGAAUUUGAGGUGGACAGGUGCGUUAAUUAGAAUUCCACGGCAACUAAUAUCAAAAUUUUCAAGGUUACGUGUGUUGAGAAUGUUCGCUAUUGGCUAUGAUCGUUUUCAUGAAGCACCAGAAGACAGCGUUUUAUUUGGUGGGGGUGAAGUUUUGAUACAGGAAUUGCUCGGUUUGAAAUAUUUAGAGGUAUUGGAGUUGAGCUUGGGAAGUUAUCAUGCUCUCCAAAUUCUUUUGAGCUCAAAUAAGUUAAAAAGUUGUAUUCGAUCUCUUUGCCUCGAGUUCGCCGGAGAUACAGCGUCAAUUAUUGAUGCUACGGCUUUCGCAGAUCUAAACUACCUCAAUGAAUUAAAUAUUUAUAGUGGUUUUGAGUUGGAAGAGUUGAAGAUUGAUUAUACAGAGAUAGUACGAAAAAGGCGGGAACCUUUUGUUUUCCGCAACCUUCACCGUGUUACUAUACAUAGCUGCCAGAAGUUGAAAGAUUUGACAUUCCUCGUUUUUGCUCCAAACCUCAAGUCUGUUCAGCUACUCGAUUGCUAUGCUAUGGAAGAAAUAAUCAGCGUCGGAAAAUUUGCUGAGACUCCUGAGAUGAUGGGACAUAUAAGCCCUUUUGAAAAUCUCCAAAUGCUUGAUUUAGAAGAUUUGCCACAUUUGAAGAGCAUCUUCUGGAAGCCAUUGCCUUUCACUCAUCUGAAAGAAAUGGCGGUAAGUGGGUGUGAUCAGCUUGAAAAGCUUCCACUCGAUUCCAACAGUGCAAAGGAGCGUAAAUUUGUAAUUCGUGGAGAAGAAGACUGGUGGAACCGACUUCAAUGGGAGGAUGAAGCCACUCAAAUUGCUUUUCGUUCCUGUUUCCAACCUUAUUCCUGAGCGGUGGUCGCAAAUUUUGAUUCUCUGUUUUUAUUUCUGGUUAGUUUCUCUCUCUCUCUUUCUCUCUCGCUCUCUCUCUUUUUGUCUUCUGCAAAUCACAAUUAAAUGUUGAAUUAAUGGAAUUAAUGCUUCAUAAAUUUGCCGGCACAGCCACUACUUUUUUUUGGGGGGGGGGGGGGGGGGGGUCGAAUUGGUGCUCUGGUUUUUGACUUUUUGUUAGCGAUUUAAUUUCCUGUCAAAAGACGAGCGAGAAGAACAUAUAUAUGACGUAAACCAAUUGAUACUUUAUUUAUGUGCAUUGUAUGUAAUAAAUAUUAAGUAUACUUUAUUUUUGCCCUGUUCUCUGUUUUUAUUUCAGUCUCUCUCUCUCUCUCUCUGCUGUCUCCUGUCUCCUGCAAAUCACAAUUAAAUGUUGAAUUAUAUGGAAUUAAUCCUUCAUAAAUCUGCCUGCGCUGGCUUUUUUUUUUUUUUUGUGGGGGUCGAAUUGAUGCUCUGGUUUUCGACUACUUUUUGUUGUCAAAAUUUUCUCUGUUUUUUCAAAUUGAUGCUUUAUUGAUAUCUUCUUCGUGAAAAGUGAUUUAAUUUCCUGCCAAAAGACGAACGAGAAGAACAUUAGAGUCAAACUAAUGCUCACAUAAAUUUCCCGUAAGAAUAUAUAAUUAUUAAGAUAGAUCUGCUCUUUCAUUAAAUAUAUAUUCCUUUUUCACAUAUUAAUUGACCUUUAUUUAAUUUGUUUAAAAAGUUUAAUUAAUUGUUGUUUGCAGAGAAUCAUCUACGCCGCUCGCCGAUAAAAGUUGAGGUGUUCGAGCAGGUGCUUGCCUUUUUUUUUUUCUUUUUCUUUUUUCCCUGUUUUAAUAUUUCUUUAAAUUUUGAAAUUGUUUAAUUAUUCUUCUGGUUUGGAAUGUUGAUAAUAGUGUUGUGAAAUUAAUUUUUACAGGAUAAAAGGUUGUGGGACAUUUAUUAUCCAUGUCCUAUGUAUCUCAAGCUUAAAGGUCUCAGUGGUCCUCUAUUGGAAAAAGCAAGUUUAAUAUAUAUUAAUUGGAUAUCGUCGCCUGUAUAUAUAUGUAUAUACAUACAUACACAGCCACUCAUCGAUUAUAGACUUAAUUAUUUAAUUGAUUAUGUAAUCUCUCGUAGUUUCUUUGUGCAUUUUUAGUUAAUUUAAUGAAUAAACUCAAAUACAUUGUAAAUAAAACCAAAUUAAAUGUUCCCUAAAAUAUACGUAUAUGCCUCUCGAUGGCACACAAGGUUAAAUGUCAGCCCAUCGCGGGUAAUAUUAUUUCUAGCCGCCUUCAUUACGAGUUAAGAGUCAAUUAUUACUAAACUAAACUAGUCAAAACUCGUAAGUGCUAGAAAGUAGAAACGUUUGAUUCUAUAUAAAUGACUUCAAUUCAAUAUGUACCAAAGAGUAUCGAUAAUUGAACCCCAAAAAACUUUAAAAAAGAUUGACAAAAUUAAUUAUAUUAUUGUGUGUUUUUAGAAGAAAAAAUAAAAUAAUUAAUUAAUGUUAUAACACUAUGUUAGGUGAAAAGUCAGCUGUCUGGAAGAGAACAAACUUACUAAGAUAAGAGCCUUCUUCAGUAAUCAACCGAACGAAAAAGUCAUCUCUUUUCUUAUUUAUUUAGUAAAAAUAAGUAAAGGCCGAAAAUUUCCUAAAAUAUCUAAAUCCCUCUCUUUAAAAGAACACCAUAUGCUGCAUAACAUGCAAAUUAAUUUCCCAUAUGUGAUGCAAUUUUCUCCUCAACAUAUGCGCAAUUCUUUCCAUUCCGGCAUUUACACUCAAAUUUUCCUUCCUUUCUCUUUGUGGUUGAAUCUUACACCACAACUCAUGUGAUGCAAUCUCCUCUCGCUGCCUAAAUUGCACUCUCAGCAAAGCAGCAUAUGUAAGCAAGCUUGAAGAUAAUCUUGCUGCUCUGCGGAAGAACGGCAAAAGUUAAUCGAAGCAAGGACUGAUGUAUCAGAAAAAUUUUGGUGGAGAAUUCAGCACAAACAUAUUUCGGAUGAUCAGAAUCAAUAAAACAUGGUGGUUGCGCCAUAUAAACAUCUUCGGAAAGCUGGCCUUGAAGAAAGGCGUUUAUUGAUAUCCAAUUGACGAAGAGGCCAGCCAUGACUAACAUCAAUACUAAGAACAAGCCGUACUGUGGUGGGCUUAACAACUGGACUGAAAGUGUCAUAAUAGUCCACACCAGGCCGUUGAUUGAACCCUUUGGCAAUAAGACGAGCUUUGAACCUGUCAACAGAACCGUUGGAAUGUCUUUUAAUACAAAAAUCCAUUUGCAGCCAACAAUAUUGGAAAGGAUGGGAGGUGGAACAAGCUUCCAUGUCCCGUUAAGAACAAGAGCAUCAUACUCUUCUGACAUAGAUUGACGCCAGUGAGGAUUUUUGAUAGCUUGCGUCACAGUUGUAGGUUCACAAUCAGAAGGAGGGCUAAAAUGAGCACAGAGGUUAAGUUUUUGUAACGGCUUGUGAAUGUUAUUUUUAGCUCCGGUAGUCAUAUCAUGAUGAUUUGUGGGGCAACGAUCUAGUGGAGUUUGGGAAGAUGAUUGAACAGGAAGUGAAGAAGUGCUUUGUGUAGAGGUAGAAAUAGGUUGGGAGGAUUGCUGCGGAGAUGUUACCGGUAGAGAAGAAGGAGCAGUACACGGUGGCAACUCCAAAGGGCCCACAAUAGAUGGAGUAGGUGCCGACGAUGGAGUACUAGGAAAUGAAACAGUAAGAAUUGGUGGAACACUUGCGUAAUUAGGAGUUGUAGAUGAGCUUGUAAUGAUUUGUAUGGAAAAACAAACUCUACAAAUUUAACGUGACGUGAAAUAAAAAUUUGAAAGGUGGAUGGGUCAAAACAUAAAUAAGCACUUUGAGAUAAAGGAAUAUCCUAGAAAAACACAAGGCUUAGAGGGUGGUUCGAGUUUAUGUGAUGAAACACAAACAUUCAAAAUUUUUUAAGUUUAUAUUAAUUAGGAGUGGUACCAAAAAUUAAUUGGCUAUCGGGUUGUUGGAUGUGUUUUGGAUAUUUACAGCUAAGUUUGAGUAUCUCAACUUAAAAUUUGUAGCUUUCACUUGAAAAAAUUCAGUUAAAAUUUGCAAUGCAGACUGAUUGAUUUAUCAGUUUAACGUGUGCCAGGAAUGAAGAACUGGAAUAUCACCGUCAAGCAAGCACCCUGUGGAGCAAUACCAAACAAUGUACAAUCCGGCUUUGCUAGGUGACACUGGAGGCUUUUUGAAAAGUGCUUCACGCUCACUUGCACAGAUUGAGCAUCCCCUCUGGAUAUUGCCCUCUCUGAUCGAGUCUGAGCACUCAAAUUUUGGUCCUCAGAGGGAGCUACAGUUUUCUCUCCACUAACCAACAAUUUUCUAAACUCAGCACCUAGUGUGAUCUUGAGCCAUAUCUAAAGCAGUUUGAAGUUCAAGUACUUGAGCCCUUGACAAUGGUUUUAAAAUUGGAACAUCUUGGAUUACUGCAGACUUGUACCCCUUGGUUUCAAAGUAAGGAAAGGUAUUGCUUGAGUACAAUUUGGAGGCAGCUUCUUCACCAAUUUUAUUUGGAGGCGAUUGGCAGCGGAUCCAGCUGCACGAAGACUAAACAAGUCAGAUGCAGUUUAUUUGUCCAAGCACAAAUUGCAUUUUGUCCUCAACUUUAAUAUUUAUUGAUGAGAAUCAAUACAGGUCCCUCAUUUGUUAUAGAAAGCUUUAUUGUAGUCUCACCAGUUAAUUCACAGGUCUAUAAUCAUCUUGCAAAGUUAAGGGCAUUUCUUUCGAUCUAAAGUCUUUGCAUCACCACCUCAUCACACGCCAAGCCAAUAUUCCAUUUACCUCUGCAACAAAAAGUUUUAAGUAAACAAUCCUAAUGCACGCAGCCAAAUAAAAUGCAGUAAGAAUAUUCAACUUAAAAAUCUGAAAGCCAACUUGGUGAAUUGCCUCCUUAGGUGAAGUUCCAUGCUUUACUAUAGUUGACAGAACUCAGCAAAAGCUUCCAUACAACAGAUUUUGAAAAUGAUGAUGCCAAUAGAUACUCAUUCAAUCCAUUGAAAAUCCAAAGGUUCAUUGUUAAUAGAAGUUUACAGAGUUUUGGUCAUCAAAUAGCUCAGACCUAAUCCCAAACAAAAAACGAGUGAAAAUUAGAUCACGAGCAGCUAAUUGUAAAUUCUAACUUAACUCUUCAUCUCCUUUGUAAACAAGAAACAAAAUGGAGACACGCAAAAUGAAUAUGGAGAAAAUUUGAACUCAAAUGAAAUGAGGGCACGAAAGCAAACAAAUGGCAUGCACAAAAAAACCAAGCCUCAAUCAAAAACUAAUUAACCAUUAAGAAAAAAAUUGGUCAGAGAAUGAACUCCAAAUUCAGGAGUCAAGCAAGAAGCUUUCAUCAUUUCAGAAGCUCCUGUACAAAAAAACCAAGCCUCAAUCAAAAGCUUUCAUUAAUAAGUUAUGCUCUUUGGAAGCAAACCUAAAUUCCAAGAGAAACAGAAGCCAAAAAAUUUGCAAUUAUACGCAAAGGAAGUGAAGCACAGGAUUCUAUCACACAUAGGAAUUGUAUAACAAGAGAUCGAUAUAUCGAAUUAGAAAACUCAAUUCGAAUUUGUGUGAAAAAUCAAAAUUAGAAGAUUUCACAUUUCGAGAGGAACAAGCAACAGAUGACGUUCAAAAUUUCAGCCAUAACAUGCUAAAAAUGCUACACUUAACGGUUCAUUUUCAUGGAUUUUCUCGGGAAACAAACAGAAAAUUACGGUUCAGAGAGUUGACUGACCUUUUGGCUUUUGAAAUUGAGAAGAUCGCGCGCCAAAUUGGAAGAGGGAAAGUGAAAGUGCGAGUUUUAAUAUGGGUAGAUAAGGAAAUUUUAUUAGGUUGCGAGGGUAAAAAAGGAAAGAGAUAUCAUUAUUUUAUCAUCGAUAAUUAUUAAAUUUUUUUCCAAAAAAAAGAACAAGCAAGGAUAUUUUAUUGUCAUUACUAAGUUAAAAAAAAUUGUUUCAAAAUUACUUGAGUCAUAUCCAAUGGACCAACAAAGUAAUCGUUUUUAUUUUUAUUGAUUUUUGCAGGAAAUUAAUAACUUAAAAAUACUGAAAGCUAUUGUAAAAAUUUUUAUUAUCAACCUCAUAGUUUUUUUUUUUUGGGGGAAGAGAAUUCAAACAUUUUUUUUUUAAAUUUCCAAGAAUUCUUGACACCCGUCUUAAUUAAAAGCUAUAUUUUUAUUCAAGAGUCAUGCUAUUCAUUCACUCACAGACCAAAGGCUUUCCGCAGCAAUAUUAUUAUUUAAAUUACAACAAAGGGGAAAUCAAAUACGUCAUACAGAAGCUUAAAGCUGAAUCAACAAAAUCUAGAGCUCUCAACUACAAAAAUUACACUUGAUGAUCCUCUACAAGAUGAAGCUUGUUCAAUAUCUUAUCCAAAGCUUGUAAAGUAACCUUGUAACGAUCUUGAGAUUGCCUGCCUUCCUCGACGACCUGCACGAUGCGUUUGUACAAAUCAUCAUACCUGUGCACCGGAUUUUUAAUAUCAACGCCACUGCAGCUGUGAUUAAGAAAAUAAGAGCGUUUAACAUCUUUUCUCCAUCGAGAAAGAAUGUACUGAGAUGGGAUCUCCUGCACGCCACUCUGGUUUAGAACACAAAGAAUGUGUCUGCAUAAAUAUCCUCUGAAAUUGAACAACCCACAAACGCAAAGCACCUCCAAGUUGGAGGCAUUGUACAAAACAUCGAAAGCCCUUGAGUCUUUCUCAUUGCUACCAACCUCGAAUUCUUCCUUCACUAUGUAUGUUAUAGGUCCAUCAGCACUAACAUGUUUUGUGCUAUAGCAAGAGUACAUAGCCUCCACCUCCGUCUGAAACUUCCUUAACAUUUCAUUUGUGUACAGUUUUGAGAGUUGAAAUUCAUAGUAACAUCUUGGUUUCUGGAUACAACUUGAAUUUCUUGAAUCCAUAUCUGCCAAGGCUUCCAGUUGAUAAUUCGCCCGCAGUGCUUGAUCAUACUUGUCUAAGAAUUCUUUCAAAGGAGUAUUCUUAUCAAGAUAUCCUUCAAAGUAUGAAGUAGAAACCUCAUUCUGCGGGAACGAAAACACUCCUGAUAAAAAAGCUUCCUUCAAAUAAAUAGGAGCCCACCUUUUACGAUCUUCAUAUAAAGUUUGAAUCCAUCCGUGAUCCUUUAUUCCAUGACGUUGAAUCAUGUCUUUCCAAGCUGCUUCAAAUUUCUCAGGCCUGAGAGAGUGAUAAAUUGCUCUAUGUAAUGCAGCUUUAAUAGCUUCAUAUUCAAACAAUCCUUGGAGUUUCACUGGAAUUUUUUGCAUGAUGCAUGACAAUGAAAAGCAACGAUAAGCUCUUGGGAAAACAUCGCCAACAGCAAUUUGCAAGAUUCUACAUUGGUCAGUGAUGAUUGUUUGUGGAGAGCGCCCUAACAUACAUGUAAGCCACGCCCUAAACAACCAUGUAUAUGAUUCUAUGGUCUCACUGGCAAGUAAACCACAACCCAACAACACUGAUUGUCCAUAAUGAUUCACCCCAAUGAAUGAAACCAGUGGUACAUCAUAUCUUUCAAUCAAGCACGUAGUAUCAAUUAAGACUACAUCACCAAAGUACCUAUAUGCAACUCUUGACCUGGUAUCAGUCCAGAACAGGUUUCUCAAGCAUCCCUUUUCAUUUAGAUCCACUACAUUAAAAAAGUUUGGAUCUGUCAACUGCAAACGACAAAAGAAACUCUGGACAGCUUGUGCAUCACCUGGUUUAAGCUUCAAUUGAUUUGAGCUAUUAACAUUAUUUCCAAAUACUCCAUUAACAUCUACAUUACCAUUUCCCUAGGCAUCAAUGAUAAGAGUUCGAAACAGUUUAAUUUUUUGAACUUCUUCAGCACUAUCUAAAUGCAAUGUUCUUUUGGUUCCAAUACCUAUGUGCUUAUGUGACUUGCAAAACUUUCCACUUCUUGGGCUUAACA
rnacentral:lncRNA from 1 species